rnacentral:rRNA from 1 species
UGGCGAACGGGUGAGUAACGCGUGAGGAACCUGCCUCAAAGAGGGGGACAACAGUUGGAAACGGCUGCUAAUACCGCAUAAGCGCACAGUACCGCAUGGUACAGUGUGAAAAACUCUGGUGGUGUGAGAUGGACCCGCGUCUGAUUAGCUGGUUGGCAGGGUAACGGCCUACCAAGGCGACGAUCAGUAGCCGACCUGAGAGGGUGACCGGCCACAUUGGGACUGAGACACGGCCCAAACUCCUACGGGAGGCACAUG